rnacentral:rRNA from 1 species
CCUACGGGUGGCAGCAGUGGGGAAUAUUGCACAAUGGGGGGAACCCUGAUGCAGCAACGCCGCGUGGGUGAAGAAGUACUCCGGUAUGUAAAGCCCUGUCAGCAGGGACGAAAAUGACGGUACCUGCCCAAGAAGCCCCGGCUAACUACGUGCCAGCAGCCGCGGUAAUACGUAGGGGGCAAGCGUUGUCCGGAUUUACUGGGUGUAAAGGGAGCGUAGACGGCAAGGCAAGUCUGGAGUGAAAGCCCGGGGCCCAACCACGGGACUGCUUUGGAAACUGUGUGGCUGGAGUGCAGGAGGGGUAAGCGGAAUUCCUAGUGUAGAGGUGAAAUGCGUAGAUAUUAGGAGGAACACCGGUGGCGAAGGCGGCUUACUGGACUGUAACUGACGUUGAGGCUCGAAGGCGUGGGGAGCAAACAGGAUUAGAUACCCCUGUAGUC